CAGCAGGGCAGUGAGUGUAGCAGAGCGGCAGCUCACGGAGUUCAGAGCCCCUUGCCUGUGGAGCCCUUCCUCUCUCUGUGGCCCAGAUGAUGUGUCCAAGAGCCCAGGCUGAGGACAGACUCUCCCGGGCUGAAGUCAGAAUCACCUCUGGCCUGCGAUGCCUAACAUCUUCCUCCUGGCUUGGCUCACCGCCUGGCUCCCUCCCUGGAAGGAAUUCUCCUACGCCCCUUACAGGUAACCACUGUCAGGCAGCCCAAGCAGCAUCAGAGGUCUGAACCCCGACAGAGGAGGAAAGAGAUGCAGCCCCAGCUAAGCCUACUGUGGCUCCUUCAUCGGAUGCAGAAUGGGGGGCGUCUAGCUUUGACUGCUUUCUUCUCAGGCAGAAUCUUUGCAGAAUGACCAUUUUUUUCUGGCCAUCUGGUGCUUCCUUCUCAACCCAGGAGGGCUAUAUUGGUCUGAAGAAGAAAAGCGAGAAGGAGCUCCGUGGGCUGGCAGGCCAGGUGGGAAAUGACUGUGCGUGCUCCCUGAGCCGGAGGAGACGCGGCUCCCCUGCCCACUCAGGGAGCGGGGCCCAAAAGCAGAGGGAGGUCAACGGCGAAAACUUCCCUGUCCUUGGCCCUCCACAGUCUCCUGAUUAAAACAUUCAGGUGUACUGCAGUUGAAAACAGAGUUGGAAAAACACCUCGGGGCUUCAAUCUGCUCAGUAUGAGGAUGACAGGGGCUUACACGGAAAUGUUUUCUCUUCACUUGCAUUCAGCGCCUGGAGGAAGAGCGGAGAGGCGGCUGCCGGCCCCAUCCCAGGCCCCUUCGCCCCCAGCCCCAGGCUGUGUUGAGAGGCGCCACAGGCUCCACCAGCAGCAGGGUGGCUGACGAAACGCCCAGCUAUUUAGACAAACAAGUGUUCAGGGCGAAGGCAGCCUCCCUCCCUCGGCAGCCCCAGCCCUCCCUUCCUGCCAGAGUCGGGGCUGAUUCCCUCGGAUGAUGCUAAUGAACAGCUCAUAAGUACUAACAAGCUCCUUGGCACCCGGAAGCCAGGCAGAGUAACUUCCAACGUGAAUUUGGGCCACGUCUAGACCCCAGCGCAGUUUCAGGAUUUUCAAUUGAUGAGUCUGCGUGGCACAAGACGUGAGAGGGGGCUCUCCGCGGCUCCCAGAAAGUGGGCUCCUUACGGCCACAUUGGGCCCCUCGCAGACCCGUUUCUAGGUCGUGAGACUUCCCCCCGACAGACAGGCACGAGCCCUGAAACCGUCCCUGAGACCCGGAAUGCGGAGCUGGUUCCAGAAAGUCCAAGAUGGCUUCUUGGUCUCAGAGAACAUUUACGUGGGGAUGGGAAGCAAGGAUCACGAAGACGUCCCUACCCAGCCCCUGCCCCGCCCCCGGCUAAAGCUGCCUGUCAGUGGGUGCAAUCCUCUGAACUGUGCUCGGGCCUUCGGCGGACUGAGAAGACUUCAUUAUGGAUGCGUAAGGUCUUGGACUCCCAGUUACUGCCUUGAGAUCUGAGCGUCUGUAGAUACUGCCGGGUUAGUGAGCCCAGGGGAAGACUGGGGAGGAAUUGACGAACAACUGUGUCUGCACUUUGCACUUCCUUGGCCUGAGUCACCAGGCAAGCUCAUCUCUCCUCCCUAAGAAAUGCGGAGGACGCAGGCCUGGGCGUGCCAUCUCUGGGACGUAGCCAGCCCCAGAUUCUCUGCCUGCUGAGUGACCUGGCCAACUCACACAGGUAGUGCCCGUGUGUUCUUGGAAAAGAAGCACCAAAGUGGAAGAGGAGGUGGAGGGAAGCUAGAAAGGAGCAUUUUUCUAGGACCCUCUGCCCAAAAUUAAAAGUUUGCUGGGGGGCCGGGCCCCGUGGCUGAGUAGUUAAAGUUCUAUGCGCUCCACUUCCACAGCCAGGGGUUCAUGGGUUCGGAUCCAGUGAACCCAUGGGCACAGACCUACUCCACUCAUCAGGCAUGCUGUGGAGGCGUCCCACAUACAAAGUGGAGGAAGAUUGGCAGGGAUGUUAGCUCAGGGCUAAUCUUCCAGACAGAAAAAAAAGUUUGCUGAGAAAUGCCUCUGAUGGCUUUAAAUGUCACAGAUGAUUUACUCCAGGAGGGACCCAGUCCACACUGGACUCGGCCCCUGUGUACUGAUUCUUGCCUUUCCCCAGCGCCAGCCCUCAGCAGCAUAACGUUUACAUGUGGGUAUCUGCAAGUGGAGCCCAGAAGAAGCCUUUCCUCCCACACGAGUAGAGUGGAAACUUACAGAUUUAUCCCAGAGUUUAAAAAUUAAAUAAACAAAAGAAUGAAAGAAGAGAUGAUGAUAGAUAGAUCAUACAUACAUACAUACAUGUGUACGUACAUUUUCUCAGGUGCCAGGCCCCAGGCAAUAUUCCGGCUCAGAGCUCCACCUUCAGCACCUGACAGCGGGCCCAGCUCCAAGCUUCUUUCGUCUCAAAGUACCACAUAGCUCUUAAUCAAACAUCCCUAUGUGGGGGCUCCUGAUCCCUGAACUUAACGUUGACUCUCCAGUACAACAGUUCAUCCUACGGUCCCAUCCGAUGCGAAGUCCAAUCCCAUGGUCAGAGAGGCCCCUGACGUGAGCUCCGGCCCAACACUUUGCACAGUGCUUGCAGCAAGGCAGAUUCUCAGUGAAAGCUGGUUGAGUAAGUACACAUGAGGGAAGCCCAGCUUCUGGUCUACCGCUAGUUACCUCCCCAGCAGCCCUCCCCUGCACUUCCUCUUGCCUUCCUUCCUGGACUCUAUUACCCAUCAAUGCCAAUACCACUCUUGCCUGAGCAGCAACAGCAGAGACAGCUUCUCUGGAAAUACACACAUUCCCCGGGCAGAGAAGUAGACCACUCAGAGCUAGUUAAUUAGUACGUUGACUGGGAUGUAUUUUGCUGGUUGACUCCUAGCCACGCCACACAGAGGCUGAAGCAAGAAUAUUUCAGUAGUAGGGGUUGGUGACAAAUCCAAGACCUAAAGGUGGGACCCUAAUCCGGUAGGGCAGAUGUCCUCAUAAGAAGGUGCAACAGGAGCAUGUGUGCACAGAGGAAAGACCACGUGGGGACAGCAAGAAGACGGUCAUCUGCAAGCCAAGGAGAGAAGUCUCAGGAGAAACCAAGACUGCCAGCAGUUGAUCUUGAACUUCCGGCCUCCAGCACAGUGAGAAAAUAAACUUCUGUUGUUUAAGCCACCUCGUCUGUGGCAUUUUGUCAUGGCAGCCCAAGCUGACUGACACAACACUGAUGGCCAACGGUGAGGGGGCUGCUGCAGACCAAUUCUACCUCAGCCUCAGUCUGCGCUGGGCUCGCCUGGGCCCAGGGAGGAGACAGGAGCUGACACACACAUUCAGAUCGCAACCGGGUAUUUUCAGGUUAACAGGUCCAUGCUGAAACAAACAAGCAAAAGACAUAAAUAGGAUGAAAGUUGUAGACAGCCAUGAACAAUUUAUCUUUUUCCUGUGGCUUAUCUGUUUGUACAUACUUGCUUUCUUGGUGGUUUUAUAAGAACAAACAUUUGCCUUUAGAAAACUCUCUUCUUGAGAACUUUAAGUUCUCAAGAAAUCUAAACAAUUUGGGG
ensembl:lncRNA